GUUUUCGUUGUGUAGUGGUUAUCACAUCUGCUUAACACGCAGAAGGUCCCAGGUUCGAUCCCUGGCGAAAACA